rnacentral:rRNA from 2 species
UUAAGCGACUAAGCGUACACGGUGGAUGCCCUGGCAGUCAGAGGCGAUGAAGGACGUGCUAAUCUGCGAUAAGCGUCGGUAAGGUGAUAUGAACCGUUAUAACCGGCGAUUUCCGAAUGGGGAAACCCAGUGUGUUUCGACACACUAUCAUUAACUGAAUCCAUAGGUUAAUGAGGCGAACCGGGGGAACUGAAACAUCUAAGUACCCCGAGGAAAAGAAAUCAACCGAGAUUCCCCCAGUAGCGGCGAGCGAACGGGGAGCAGCCCAGAGCCUGAAUCAGUGUGUGUGUUAGUGGAAGCGUCUGGAAAGGCGCGCGAUACAGGGUGACAGCCCCGUACACAAAAAUGCACAUACUGUGAGCUCGAUGAGUAGGGCGGGACACGUGGUAUCCUGUCUGAAUAUGGGGGGACCAUCCUCCAAGGCUAAAUACUCCUGACUGACCGAUAGUGAACCAGUACCGUGAGGGAAAGGCGAAAAGAACCCCGGCGAGGGGAGUGAAAAAGAACCUGAAACCGUGUACGUACAAGCAGUGGGAGCCUCUUUAUGGGGUGACUGCGUACCUUUUGUAUAAUGGGUCAGCGACUUAUAUUCUGUAGCAAGGUUAACCGAAUAGGGGAGCCGAAGGGAAACCGAGUCUUAACUGGGCGUUAAGUUGCAGGGUAUAGACCCGAAACCCGGUGAUCUAGCCAUGGGCAGGUUGAAGGUUGGGUAACACUAACUGGAGGACCGAACCGACUAAUGUUGAAAAAUUAGCGGAUGACUUGUGGCUGGGGGUGAAAGGCCAAUCAAACCGGGAGAUAGCUGGUUCUCCCCGAAAGCUAUUUAGGUAGCGCCUCGUGAAUUCAUCUCCGGGGGUAGAGCACUGUUUCGGCAAGGGGGUCAUCCCGACUUACCAACCCGAUGCAAACUGCGAAUACCGGAGAAUGUUAUCACGGGAGACACACGGCGGGUGCUAACGUCCGUCGUGAAGAGGGAAACAACCCAGACCGCCAGCUAAGGUCCCAAAGUCAUGGUUAAGUGGGAAACGAUGUGGGAAGGCCCAGACAGCCAGGAUGUUGGCUUAGAAGCAGCCAUCAUUUAAAGAAAGCGUAAUAGCUCACUGGUCGAGUCGGCCUGCGCGGAAGAUGUAACGGGGCUAAACCAUGCACCGAAGCUGCGGCAGCGACACUAUGUGUUGUUGGGUAGGGGAGCGUUCUGUAAGCCUGUGAAGGUGUGCUGUGAGGUAUGCUGGAGGUAUCAGAAGUGCGAAUGCUGACAUAAGUAACGAUAAAGCGGGUGAAAAGCCCGCUCGCCGGAAGACCAAGGGUUCCUGUCCAACGUUAAUCGGGGCAGGGUGAGUCGACCCCUAAGGCGAGGCCGAAAGGCGUAGUCGAUGGGAAACAGGUUAAUAUUCCUGUACUUGGUGUUACUGCGAAGGGGGGACGGAGAAGGCUAUGUUGGCCGGGCGACGGUUGUCCCGGUUUAAGCGUGUAGGCUGGUUUUCCAGGCAAAUCCGGAAAAUCAAGGCUGAGGCGUGAUGACGAGGCACUACGGUGCUGAAGUAACAAAUGCCCUGCUUCCAGGAAAAGCCUCUAAGCAUCAGGUAACAUCAAAUCGUACCCCAAACCGACACAGGUGGUCAGGUAGAGAAUACCAAGGCGCUUGAGAGAACUCGGGUGAAGGAACUAGGCAAAAUGGUGCCGUAACUUCGGGAGAAGGCACGCUGAUAUGUAGGUGAAGUCCCUUGCGGAUGGAGCUGAAAUCAGUCGAAGAUACCAGCUGGCUGCAACUGUUUAUUAAAAACACAGCACUGUGCAAACACGAAAGUGGACGUAUACGGUGUGACGCCUGCCCGGUGCCGGAAGGUUAAUUGAUGGGGUUAGCGGUAACGCGAAGCUCUUGAUCGAAGCCCCGGUAAACGGCGGCCGUAACUAUAACGGUCCUAAGGUAGCGAAAUUCCUUGUCGGGUAAGUUCCGACCUGCACGAAUGGCGUAAUGAUGGCCAGGCUGUCUCCACCCGAGACUCAGUGAAAUUGAACUCGCUGUGAAGAUGCAGUGUACCCGCGGCAAGACGGAAAGACCCCGUGAACCUUUACUAUAGCUUGACACUGAACAUUGAGCCUUGAUGUGUAGGAUAGGUGGGAGGCUUUGAAGUGUGGACGCCAGUCUGCAUGGAGCCGACCUUGAAAUACCACCCUUUAAUGUUUGAUGUUCUAACGUUGGCCCCUGAUCGGGGUUGCGGACAGUGUCUGGUGGGUAGUUUGACUGGGGCGGUCUCCUCCUAAAGAGUAACGGAGGAGCACGAAGGUUGGCUAAUCCUGGUCGGACAUCAGGAGGUUAGUGCAAUGGCAUAAGCCAGCUUGACUGCGAGCGUGACGGCGCGAGCAGGUGCGAAAGCAGGUCAUAGUGAUCCGGUGGUUCUGAAUGGAAGGGCCAUCGCUCAACGGAUAAAAGGUACUCCGGGGAUAACAGGCUGAUACCGCCCAAGAGUUCAUAUCGACGGCGGUGUUUGGCACCUCGAUGUCGGCUCAUCACAUCCUGGGGCUGAAGUAGGUCCCAAGGGUAUGGCUGUUCGCCAUUUAAAGUGGUACGCGAGCUGGGUUUAGAACGUCGUGAGACAGUUCGGUCCCUAUCUGCCGUGGGCGCUGGAGAACUGAGGGGGGCUGCUCCUAGUACGAGAGGACCGGAGUGGACGCAUCACUGGUGUUCGGGUUGUCAUGCCAAUGGCACUGCCCGGUAGCUAAAUGCGGAAGAGAUAAGUGCUGAAAGCAUCUAAGCACGAAACUUGCCCCGAGAUGAGUUCUCCCUGACCCUUUAAGGGUCCUGAAGGAACGUUGAAGACGACGACGUUGAUAGGCCGGGUGUGUAAGCGCAGCGAUGCGUUGAGCUAACCGGUACUAAUGAACCGUGAGGCUUAACCUU